UUGAACUCUCCCCCCGAUAUCGUCUCUCUUCUCCGAUAGCCUCAAAUGGACUAGGGUUUUACGGGAGAAAGAGGAUAACAACAGAUCGAUACUAUUUAGUAGUAUAUACAACGAUUCUCCGCAUCAAUAUACUGAACUAAUCUCUCUGUCUCUGUGUGUUGCAUUCGUCUUGAAAGACUACGGAAAUCAUAGAUUUUGAGGUCCCUCAAAAUGGCGAAUUUGACCAUUACAAACAUACUUGAGAAGAUGACAGGCAAGGACAAGGACUACAGAUAUAUGGCAACUUCUGAUUUGCUAAAUGAGUUAAACAAAGAGGGAUUUAAACUUGACGCUGAGCUUGAAGGGAAGUUAUCAAGCACAGUUUUGCAGCAGCUUGAUGAUGCGGCCGGUGAUGUUUCUGGAUUGGCUGUGAAAUGCCUUGCUCCAUUGGCGAAGAAGGUUCGUGAGCAGCAAGUUCUAGAGAUGACUAAUAGGCUUUGUGAUAAACUUCUUAAUGGAAAAGAACAACAUCGUGAUAUUGCUAGCAUAGCUUUGAAGACUAUUGUAUCUGAAGUUCCUUCAUCGUCUAUUGCUAGAAACGUACUUGUCUCAAUUUCACCAAAGUUAAUAAAAGGGAUCACUGCCCCGGGAAUGAGCACUGAGAUUAAAUGUGAAUGUCUUGACAUACUAUGUGAUGUUCUUCACAAGUA
rnacentral:misc_RNA from 1 species